UGGUCCUCCGCCUCCCUCAGCCGCCUCCCGUCUCUGUCCACGGGCAACGGCUCCACCUGCUCGACGUCGACGUCCUCCAUCCCUGCUGUAGCGCUGCGCAGACGGGAUUAUGACAUGAGGAACACCUGAAUGGCGAGCGUCCAAAACUUGCAAUAAAACCUCCCCGACUGUAAAAGUCCUGCUGGACGUGUUCGCUUCCAGUGGACUCCGUGUUUAUUUGUGCUACUCACCCGGACCUUCAACGGGAAACGUGCAGACGGCUCCGGGGGCUCCUAAAUAUGUCACCCGGGUGGAGGUGAAGCGGGAGCCGAUCGCAGCGGCGUUUGAAUGGGAGCUGCGGGAGUCACGGGCCGUUUCUGAGGUGAAAGCCCCUUUUCAGCAGCAUUCCUCCGCGUUCCCGGACGAACCGUCGACUCCCGUCUUCUCUCCGUCCCCGUGAGAAAAGUGGGAGAUAAUUAUAGAGCGUUCAUGCUUUAUCCGGUCACAAACUUCCUUCCUCUGUCCAAACAAACGUAUGAAGCUUCCUCCCCACACUCGCACACAGCGCCAGUGCCUUUUUUCCGUUUUUUACUACACUGAUUGCUGUCUGCGGCGCGCGCCUCACAGCAACUGUCUACCUGCUUCCCGGGGCCACACCUGGGAACUGUGACGUCACGGAAGCUACUUAUUACCGGAAGAGUAAUAUAUAUAUGUAUAUAUAUACACACACAUACACAAGCACUUUACCUCGCCGCAUAAAAUGCAAAAAUGUGUCUGUUCAUGAUAUAAAGUGUCGUAAAAUUAUACAUAACGACCAGAGUCAGUUCAGUUAAGUGGGCUGAGCUAAGUCCUGCUUUACCGCAAGCAUUGCACUUGCUUAUGCGCACCGCCAGGUGGCACUAGAGCCCGCAAUUAAACACAAUAGUCAAAUUCGGAUCAAUUCUCUUAAAUAAAUAAAAACAUCCACAGAAACAGCAACCUGUGGCAAGACUGUUUUGUCCAGUACCCACAUUGCUAAAAUAUCCCAUCUAAUGUAAAUAAACAUCACAGACUGGAAAUUGUAGUCACAGAACUUUUAUUUUUUUCAAAAGGGAAAAACCUCCACUUUCUCAGGUAAAGAGUUGUGAGGAGCAGGAACGAGAGAAUUGGGAAAAGCAGGAGCCAUUAAAUAGAGCUGCUGGCAGGUUAUACAGAAUGAUCACGUGAGCAUUUACUACAGCGCUGGCAACAGAUUUGACACACAUCUGCUUUAAUCAGGAUUUUCAGAAAGAGCAUAUCAACAAGAAAAGGGCAAAAAUGUUGGGCUUCAUACACAGUUUACCUUUCUUCUAACUUUUGGCCAGCAGCAAUAGUUUUGAAGUAAGAAAUCAACAUUUGCAUUAAAAAGUGGAUAAACCAUGGCACCCAAAUAGAGAUGUAGGAAAAAAAAAAUGGGGAAAUAAAAUGAAAA